rnacentral:rRNA from 1 species
UACGUAGGUGACAAGCGUUGUCCGGAAUCACUGGGCGUAAAGGGCGCGUAGGCGGUCUGCUAAGCGUGUGGUGAAAGCUCGGGGCUCAACCCCGAGUCGGCCAUGCGAACUGGUGGACUCGAGCACUGUAGAGGCAGGUGGAAUUCCGGGUGUAGCGGUGGAAUGCGUAGAGAUCCGGAAGAACACCGGUGGCGAAGGCGGCCUGCUGGGCAGUAGCUGACGCUGAGGCGCGAUAGCGUGGGGAGCAAACAGG